GAUGAAGAACGUAGCGAAAUGCGAUAAGUAAUGUGAAUCGCAGAAUUCAGUGAAUCAUCGAAUCUUUGAACGCACAUUGCGCCCCUUGGUAUUCCGGGGGGCAUGCCUGUUCGAGCGUCAUUUCAACCCUCAAGCUCUGCUUGGUAUUGGGCUCCGUCCUCCUCGGACGCGCCUCAAAGACCUCGGCGGUGGCGUCUUGCCUCAAGCGUAGUAGAAACACCUCGCUUUGGAGUGCAUGGCGUCGCCCGCCGGACGAAACCUUUUGUAUUUUCUCAAAGGUUGACCUCGGAUCAGGUAGGGAUACCCGCUGAACUUAAGCAUAUCAUAAGCGGAGGA
rnacentral:misc_RNA from 1 species